ensembl:ncRNA F52B10.8 ncRNA
ACAGUGACAGACGGGAGAGUAUGCGACUGUUUGGGAGGGCCAGCCGUUUGUAGACGAUCUGCUGUGACCGCAUAAGCAGAACGAGGCCCCGAAUAGUGCGCAGAGAAAUUGCUGUGCUCG